GGUCUUCUGACCAAUCACCUAUCACAGACCUCCCUCUCUGGGGGGGGACAGAACUUGGUGUGGGCAGAACUCUCUCUGAUCUCUGUCACGACCACUUUCUCAACGAAGGCCUUCGUUUGUUCUAUUCUGAGACUCUGUUAUGAGACUGCUGUUGCAUCAUCGACUGAUUCAUUGUACUAGACUACAAACAUCCUGGUGUGUUGUUUUCAUUGUGUAUCUUGUGAUUGCAUCAUUACUUACAUUAAACUACAAAUAACUUGG